rnacentral:rRNA from 1 species
CCGAGCCGGGACAUGGCGGUUGACGGCGACGUUAGGAAGUCCAGAGACGCCGGCGGGGGCCUCGGGAAGAGAUAUCUUUUCUGCUUAACGGUCCGCCUACCCUGGAAACGGUUCAGCUGGAGGUAGGGUCCAGUGGCCGGAAGAGCACCGCACGUCGCGCAGUGUCCGGUGCGCCCCCGGCGGCCC